ACCUGGCUGGCUCAUUCAGAGGAGUAUGUGACUGUUGAUCUCAGGAUUGUGAGUUCGAGCCCCACGUUGGGUG
rnacentral:tRNA from 1 species